GAAAAUGAAAAAAAAACAUAAGUAUAUACACACACACAUUAACACAUAUCUCAUCCUCUUCUCUCAACCACAACCUGCAGAAUGCAAACCAUCACCACCACUCCUCCCCUUUCCCCUGCCACCACAGCCACCUCCUACAAACACGAUCACAACCACCUACUACAGACCACCUUGCACAGCCCCCAUCCAACCACCACCACCUUGCAUCGCCCCCAUCUAACUAGUUGUUACCACCAUCCAGCCGCCACAACUCAACCACCAGCACUAGCCACCCUCUGCCGUCGCUGCCUCCUUUUCUCGUACAAACUCAACCGCCGCCUCACCAACCACAUCUUCAUCAUCAUCAUCUUCUGCUUCCAAAUUGUGUUGGAUUCCUCCCAAAUCUUCCACCUAGGGUUCCGAUUGAAAAUUCCAGAGGUGUAAUCGGUGUUUAAAAGGACGGAUUGAAGCUGAAGGUGUUAUCAUCAGGAUUAGAUUUGGCUCGUCCUCUUCUGACAUCUGAAAGUGCGACAAGAGAUCCAGAACUGGAAUGGUUGAUUCAUAUGGUCAGGCAGUUGCAAAAUAGACCCAGAUCAAGAAAUGAUUUGUGUAUGAGGUUAAUUCAUAAAUUUGUGUGUUAAUUCACAAAUGAUUUGCAACGGAUUUGGGUGCACCGAGGAAACAAGUGAACAACCCACAAAUUAUUUUUGCAAAACGAUGACCGAGCAAAAUAGGUGGGGGCAGGUGGGUUGGGCGGGCUGUGCACGGUGGUGGUGAUGUGGUGACGAUUGGUGGUGGUGGAGAAGAGGGAGAAUGUAGAGAGAGAAGAGAGAGGGCAAAGAGAGAAAGAAGAAACAUAGGGUUCUGUUAUAUAUAUUAUAUAUAUUAUAUAGAUAUAUUAUAAUCUUUAUUUGUAA